rnacentral:lncRNA from 1 species
AUUCACCCAACAACAUUUUUGAUGCAUGAUGCAUAUGGUGCUAAAUGCUGGGAAUGCAAACCUGAGUAAGUGUCUAUUUCAAAUCAAUAGGAGUACUUGAAGAUUCUCCCUGCUUACAAUGUAAACAUCAUGAAGAAAGAGAUGUGUUGGACUUGUUCAUCGCUAUAUUUCCUGGCUCAGAUCCUGGCACUGAGUAGACAUCAAGAAAUAUUUAAAUGAAUGAAAGAAUGAAUGAAUGAAUGAACGAACUGUGUCCUCUUGUAGAGCUGAGGGUGUUUUACCACUACCCUAAGAGCUGACACCAGGAGGUCUUGCUGCAAAGCCAGGCACUGUAUUCCACACUGUAUUUCCAUCAUCGCUUUUAAUGAGACUUCUUUGCAAAUAUGUAUGGUAUCUUUUAAAAUACCUGAUAACCAGCCAGCAGGGGUGGUCAGCUGCUACACUGGUAGCCACAAACAGAAUCCAAGACACAGAACUUCAUACGGUGUCACAGCUUCAUUUUCCAGGCUACAGCUCCCACUGCCCACAUCAGAACCAUCUGCAGGUCCAUAAGCUGUGAGUUUCUUUGGGAGUUGGGGGAGUGUCUUUUGGAUGUUUAUAACUUAUGCAUCUUAAUAUUGAAUGUGCACUUAAUACAUGGAACUUCAUAGUACUUGAUUUUUUAUGCAAAAAUGACUUAAUUAAAAUUUCUUGAAGAAA